rnacentral:rRNA from 1 species
CCUACGGGUGGCAGCAGUCGAGAAUCAUUCACAAUGGGGGAAACCCUGAUGGUGCGACGCCGCGUGCGGGAAUGCAGUUCUUCGGAUUGUAAACCCCUGUUAUGUGGGAGCAAAUUAAAACGCUAGUACCACAAUAGGAAGAUCCUUCUAACUCUGUGCAAGCAGCCGCGGUAAUACAGAGGUCUCAAGCGUUGUUCGUAAUCACUGGGCGUAAAGCGUGGGGAGGCUGUUGGGGAAGUCGUGUGUGAAAGGCGCGGGCUCAACCCGCGGACGGCAGAUGAUACUGCGAGACUAGAGUAAUGGAGAGGGAGGCGGAAUUCUCGGUGUAGCAGUGAAAUGCGUAGAUAUCG